rnacentral:rRNA from 1 species
GAUGAACGCUGGCGGCGUGCCUAAUACAUGCAAGUCGAGCGAACGGACGAGAAGCUUGCUUCUCUGAUGUUAGCGGCGGACGGGUGAGUAACACGUGGAUAACCUACCUAUAAGACUGGGAUAACUUCGGGAAACCGGAGCUAAUACCGGAUAAUAUUUUGAACCGCAUGGUUCAAAAGUGAAAGACGGUCUUGCUGUCACUUAUAGAUGGAUCCGCGCUGCAUUAGCUAGUUGGUAAGGUAACGGCUUACCAAGGCAACGAUGCAUAGCCGACCUGAGAGGGUGAUCGGCCACACUGGAACUGAGACACGGUCCAGACUCCUACGGGAGGCAGCAGUAGGGAAUCUUCCGCAAUGGGCGAAAGCCUGACGGAGCAACGCCGCGUGAGUGAUGAAGGUCUUCGGAUCGUAAAACUCUGUUAUUAGGGAAGAACAUAUGUGUAAGUAACUGUGCACAUCUUGACGGUACCUAAUCAGAAAGCCACGGCUAACUACGUGCCAGCAGCCGCGGUAAUACGUAGGUGGGCAGCGUUAUCCGGAAUUUAUGGGCGUAAAGCGCGCGUAGCGGUUUUUUAAGUCUGAUGUGAAAGCCCACGGCUCAACCGUGGAGGGUCAUUGGAAACUGGAAAACUUGAGUGCAGAAGAGGAAAGUGGAAUUCCAUGUGUAGCGGUGAAAUGCGCAGAGAUAUGGAGGAACACCAGUGGCGAAGGCGACUUUCUGGUCUGUAACUGACGCUGAUGUGCGAAAGCGUGGGGAUCAAACAGGAUUAGAUACCCUGGUAGUCCACGCCGUAAACGAUGAGUGCUAAGUGUUAGGGGGUUUCCGCCCCUUAGUGCUGCAGCUAACGCAUUAAGCACUCCGCCUGGGGAGUACGACCGCAAGGUUGAAACUCAAAGGAAUUGACGGGGACCCGCACAAGCGGUGGAGCAUGUGGUUUAAUUCGAAGCAACGCGAAGAACCUUACCAAAUCUUGACAUCCUUUGACAACUCUAGAGAUAGAGCUUUCCCCUUCGGGGGACAAAGUGACAGGUGGUGCAUGGUUGUCGUCAGCUCGUGUCGUGAGAUGUUGGGUUAAGUCCCGCAACGAGCGCAACCCUUAAGCUUAGUUGCCAUCAUUAAGUUGGGCACUCUAAGUUGACUGCCGGUGACAAACCGGAGGAAGGUGGGGAUGACGUCAAAUCAUCAUGCCCCUUAUGAUUUGGGCUACACACGUGCUACAAUGGACAAUACAAAGGGCAGCGAAACCGCGAGGUCAAGCAAAUCCCAUAAAGUUGUUCUCAGUUCGGAUUGUAGUCUGCAACUCGACUACAUGAAGCUGGAAUCGCUAGUAAUCGUAGAUCAGCAUGCUACGGUGAAUACGUUCCCGGGUCU